rnacentral:piRNA from 1 species
UCAGAGCGAGUUCCAGGAUAGGC